rnacentral:rRNA from 1 species
UACGUAGGGGGCAAGCGUUGUCCGGAUUUAUUGGGCGUAAAGAGCGUGUAGGCGGCUAGGUAGGUCCGUUGUGAAAACUCGAGGCUCAACCUCGAGACGCCGGUGGAAACCAUCUAGCUAGAGUCCGGAAAGAGGAGAAGUGGGAAUUCCUGGUGUAGCGGUGAAAUGACGCAGAUAUCAGGAAGAACACCCGUGGCGAAGGCGGCUCUCUGGGACGUGACUGACGCUGAGACGCGAAAGCGUGGGGAGCGAACAGG